AUUGAACGCUGGCGGAAUGCUUUACACAUGCAAGUCGAACGGCAGCACGGGGGCAACCCUGGUGGCGAGUGGCGAACGGGUGAGUAAUACAUCGGAACGUGCCCAGUCGUGGGGGAUAACGUAGCGAAAGCUACGCUAAUGCCGCAUACGAACUGUGGUUGAAAGCGGGGGAUCGCAAGACCUCGCGCGAUUGGAGCGGCCGAUGGCAGAUUAGGUAGGUGGUGGGGUAAAGGCCUACCAAGCCGACGAUCUGUAGCCGGUCUGAGAGGACGACCAGCCACACUGGGACUGAGACACGGCCCAGACUCCUACGGGAGGCAGCAGUGGGGAAUUUUGGACAAUGGGCGCAAGCCUGAUCCAGCCAUUCCGCGUGCAGGAUGAAGGCCCUCGGGUUGUAAACUGCUUUUGUACGGAACGAAACGGCGACCGCUAAUACCGGUUGCUAAUGACGGUACCGUAAGAAUAAGCACCGGCUAACUACGUGCCAGCCGCCGCGGUAA
rnacentral:rRNA from 1 species